rnacentral:tRNA from 1 species
GUAUAGCUUAGUGGUAGAGCAUAUGCUUAGCAUGCCUAAAGCUCUGGGUUCAAUUACCAGAUACA